rnacentral:lncRNA from 1 species
GCUUCGGAACCAGUCUCUGAGUCGGGCGGCGCGCAGAAACCUCCAACCGGUGGAGCCUACUCAUAACCUGACGCCCAGAGGCCGCGAAGACAGUACCGUUUUCUUAGCGGCGGGUACUAUACCAACUGCCUUCCUAAGAAAGUGCUGAGAUAGAGUAUUAUUAUAAUACAAGAGCUUCUGUAAGUAGGACAGUAGCCUUCUGUUUUAACAGACACACCUUCCUGCUCCUUUCCAUGCAGAACAUUUGUAACACAGAUGAUUAAAAAAACUCAACGGGAAAGGGGAACAAAAAGAACAUAGUGUAAUAACAUUUUUGAAGAUGUCAUAAUUGAAACCCAUUACUUAAUGUGGUCAUUUUAAAGGUAAUUACAAAAA